UUUGAAUCAACACAUGAAGCACCAGCUAUACACUGAUAGUAUACUAUAAAUAAUACACUCUUCACAGAAAUCACCUGACAUGUAGCCUACAGGUAUAUUGCCCAAACUCCAAAAGGAAUUUGAACCUCCCUAGAACUUGGACUUCCCUGUUACAGUAAUUUCAGCAUGUAAGCGAUCGGAAAAGAAUAAAUAAUAAUUAGUCACUCUUCAUUGAAAUCACGUGACAUAUAAAGGUAUCUCUGGGACUUUCCUAGAACUUGGUCUUCCCCUGCGAUAUAUAAGAAUCAGACACAACAGAAACAGAAAGAGAAUGUCAAAGCUCUGAGGAGAACACGCAGAAAGCAGACAUUACAAUGGCAACAGCAUGCAUCCCAAAGGGCAAACAAGAAAUAUUCCAAAACUGUCCAAAAGGAGAUCCAGCACCUCCUGCUCCAUAUGAUUCAAGGUUCAUCAACACAACUCACACUUCUCUGAAUGUUGUCAACAACCCUGAUCCCAUUGACACCACUGAUCUCCGUAUGAAGGUUGUUAAUGGCUCAACUGGAAAAAGCACCUCACUGACCCUCAAGAGCACUGACACUAUUGGCAAACUCAAGCAGAUGUUCCUGGAGAAGAGACCUGGCAUGCUGGAAAGCCCGAACCUUGUCUUCCAUGGCAAGCCCGUUGAGGACAGCCAGUGCCUGGGGGUACUGGGGGUGAAGGCUGGGGCCACCUUCAUCAC